UGCCUGAGAGACCGCUCGCACAUCCAAGGAAGGCAGCAGG
rnacentral:rRNA from 15 species